GGCGGCGUGGAUAAGACAUGCAAGUCGGACGGGACUUUUCGCUGUAGCAAUACAGUGGAAAGUUUAGUGGCGAACGGGUGCGUAACACGUGGGCAAUUUGCCUUAAAGUGUGGGAUAGCUCGGCGAAAGCCGGAUUAAUACCGCAUGUGGCUACUGGAGACAUCUUCGGGACGCUAAAGGUGGCGCAAGCUACCGCUUUUUGAGAAGCCCGCGGCCUAUCAGCUUGUUGGUGAGGUAACGGCUCACCAAGGCGUUGACGGGUAGCUGGUCUGAGAGGACGACCAGCCACACUGGGACUGAGACACGGCCCAGACACCUACGGGUGGCAGCAGUCGAGAAUUUUUGACAAUGGGGGAAACCCUGAUAGAGCGACGCCGCGUGGAGGAUGAAGGUCUUCGGGUUGUAAAGUCCUGUCAUUUGGGAACAAGGCGUAUUUAUUAACGUAAGUACGUA
rnacentral:rRNA from 1 species